rnacentral:tRNA from 1 species
AGCAUAGUGUUGUGGUUUCAAUGUUGGACUAGGAAUCCAGGAGACCAGGGUUCGAAUCCUUGCUUAGCUU